rnacentral:rRNA from 1 species
AGAGUUUGAUCAUGGCUCAGGAUGAACGCUGGCGGUAUGCUUAACACAUGCAAGUCGAACGAGAGACUUCGGUCUUUAGUGGCGGACGGGUGAGUAACGCGUGAGAAUCUGCCUUUAGGACGGGGACAACAGUUGGAAACGGCUGCUAACACCCGAUGUGCCCUUAGGGGUGAAAUAUUUAUAGCCUGAAGAUGAGCUCGCGUCUGAUUAGCUAGUAGGUGCGGUAAUGGCGUACCUAGGCGACGAUCAGUAACUGGUCUGAGAGGAUGACCAGUCACACUGGGACUGAGACACGGCCCAGACUCCUACGGGAGGCAGCAGUGGGGAAUUUUCCGCAAUGGGCGCAAGCCUGACGGAGCAAUACCGCGUGAGGGAGGAAGGCUCUUGGGUCGUAAACCUCUUUUAUCAGGGAAGAACACAAUGACGGUACCUGAUGAAUCAGCAUCGGCUAACUCCGUGCCAGCAGCCGCGGUAAUACGGAGGAUGCAAGCGUUAUCCGG